GACAUCUGAUAUAUAGGCAGCAUGGCAUAUAUUGUUAGAGGGGAAUUUGAUGAGAACUAAUUAAGAAAGGUGAGGAGUUGGACUCCGUGUAGUUUAGGGAAUUGUAAUUUGACUUAUGGUGUUAGAACUAGGAAAAAUGUCUAUUUAGUACUAAUUGUAACCCUUCGUUACUCAUUCCAAUGACAAUCUUUUUUAUGAGCCCAUUUGAAUGAAAGUAAACUUUUUUUAUGCCCGAAUGAUCAAAUCUUUAGUAAAGUCUUAAUAAACUAUAUUAUUUAAAGACUAUUUUGCCCUCACCUCUUCAACAUGAAAAAACUUGACUGGAACCUCGAACUCCGGUCACUAGCCACAGGACUCCGAUCACCGGCCGCGGGACUCCAGUCACCAGAAUUUCCCCAACCGUCGGACUCCGAUCACCAGAAUUUCCCCAGUAACCAGUUACUGACCCCCAAUAACCAGUUACUGACCCUUAGUAACCUGUUAAUGACCAGUUACUGACACCUAAUAACCAGUUACUGACCCCCAGUAACUGAGUUAUUUUGGUCACCGGCCGCCGGAACUGAGUUACUGACCUCCAAUAACUGAGUUAAUAACCUCCAAUAAUCAGUUACUAACCCCUAAUAAUUAGUUAUUAACCCCCAAUAACUUGGUUACUUACCCUCAAUAAUCAAUUACUGAUUCCCAAUAAUCGGUUACUGACCCCCAAUAAUCGGUUACAGACCCCUAAUAAUUUUGUUACGGACCCCCAAUAAUCAACUUUUUCAGCUUGAUGUAAUAGAAAAGAAGAAAUACCAGAAAAUAAUCAGGUUACUGAUCUUUAAUAACUAGGCUACCGAUUCUCUGAAAAUGUUACUAACCCCCUAGUAAUCAAAUUACUAACCCCCAGUAACCGACUUAUUACCCUCUAAUAUACAUGUUUGUUGUCUUCCCGUUGAUAGAUACAUCAAUAACACAAAAAAUGAAAUCAAUAACUAAAGUUAUACUUGUAAUCACACAUGAAAGAAACUUAUAACUUGAGCAGAAAUAUAUUUUGAGAACAGAAUUGCAACAUAUUGUACUUAAUCCACAAGAAAUCACAACACUGUAACCUAGCUAUUCUCUUCAACAAGGUGCGUGCCCACAGUUUGGAUUCGGUAUACCAGCCGCACAUUUGUAGUCUUCUUUAUACUGCAAACUCAAACAAAUCCCAAUCACAUGCAAACACAUAUAUAGAUAGUCAAUGAUACAGAGAAGGAAGACGGAGAAUUAAACCCUAACCUCGGAGAGAUCAACCUCGACCUUCGAUGUCGCCGAUCUACACAUUCCGAUCCGACGAUCCGAAGCUAGCACCAAGUAGUCAGAUGCCACCGCCACGUAGUCUGACUCCACGAGCGGGAGCACAACCAGAAGCGCCAGUGCCUCGCGGUUUUGCUAGGAAUAAGGGGCCGGAGUCAGAGAUUGGCGAGCUCUGACGAUGAAACACGAGCCGAAUCUGGAUUCAAAUUCGAUUUCUCAUUGAUUAGACGUGGCGCUGUCCAGAUCGAGGUUCGUCGCCGUCGAGGCCGAGGAGCGUUGUCGUCCAAGCUGAGGUUCGUCGUGUCGAGGCUGAGGAGCGUCGCCGGCGUGGCUGAGAAGAGUCGCCGUCGAGGCUCUCAACGAGAGAGAGAGAGAGAGAGAGAGAGAGAGAGAGAGAGAGAGAGAGAGAGAGAGAGAGAGUAGUAGUAGUAGUAAGNNNNNNNNNNNNNNNNNNNNGAGAGAGAGAGAGAUUAGAUUUGAAUAGAGAGACAAGGGUUUAAUUAUCAGAACAAGGAUAUACUCGUAAUUUUAUUAAAAAUCAUUGAAAUAGGCUAAGAGAAAAUAUUUACAUUGAAAUGGGCAUUAAAAUCCCUGUUUUUGUGUAUUUGGGCAUUUUCCCGAAGAACUAUAUGUUAAAUUUGACUUUUUAAUCUGUGGUAGGAGAUAGUCUUAGUCCCGUUAGGACUAUAAAUAAUUAUGAAUUUUUUCUUUUUCUUAAUUUCUUUAAAAAAUUGGUUAAAUAUGCAUGACAAUGCAAUUGAAAGUGAACGAUAUUAUGUUGGCUAACUAUUAAUUUAAACUCAGAAUUGACAUACAAUAAACUAUGAUACAUGCAAGUUCCAACUCACUCAUAUAUAGAUACUAGCAAAAAAAAACUCACUCAUAUAUAGAUAGCUAGAAAUGUUUUUACUUAACAUGCAACUAUGAUACAAUGCACGGUAACUUGCAACAUACGUAUUAACAUUGUACGUGCUAUAUAUUUUCGAUCAACAUAUUAAUCA
rnacentral:lncRNA from 1 species